GUGCUCGCUUUGGCAGCACAUAUACUAAAACUGGAACGAUACAGAGAAGAUUAGCAUGGCCCCUGUGCAAGGAUGACACGCAAAUUCGUGAAGCAUUCCAUAUUUAA
rnacentral:snRNA from 1 species